UACAGAGGUCUCAAGCGUUGUUCGGAUUCAUUGGGCGUAAAGGGUGCGAAGGUGGCGCGGUAAGUCGGGUGUGAAAUUUCGGAGCUUAACUCCGAAACUGCAUUCGAUACUGCCGUGCUUGAGGACUGGAGAGGAGACUGGAAUUUACGGUGUAGCAGUGAAAUGCGUAGAUAUCUGGAGGAACACCGGUGGCGAAGGCGGCAUCCUGGACCAAUAUUGACGCUGAGGAGCGAAAGCCAGGGGAGCAAACGGG
rnacentral:rRNA from 1 species